rnacentral:rRNA from 1 species
ACGGGUGAGGAAUACAUCGGAAUCUACUUUUUCGUGGGGGAUAACGUAGGGAAACUUACGCUAAUACCGCAUACGACCUACGGGUGAAAGCAGGGGACCUUCGGGCCUUGCGCGAUUGAAUGAGCCGAUGUCGGAUUAGCUAGUUGGCGGGGUAAAGGCCCACCAAGGCGACGAUCCGUAGCUGGUCUGAGAGGAUGAUCAGCCACACUGGAACUGAGACACGGUCCAGACUCCUACGGGAGGCAGCAGUGGGGAAUAUUGGACAAUGGGCGCAAGCCUGAUCCAGCCAUACCGCGUGGGUGAAGAAGGCCUUCGGGUUGUAAAGCCCUUUUGUUGGGAAAGAAAUCCAGCCGGCUAAUACCUGGUUGGGAUGACGGUACCCAAAGAAUAAGCACCGGCUAACUUCGUGCCAGCAGCCGCGGUAAUACGAAGGGUGCAAGCGUUACUCGGAAUUACUGGGCGUAAAGCGUGCGUAGGUGGUUGUUUAAGUCUGUUGUGAAAGCCCUGGGCUCAACCUGGGAACUGCAGUGGAAACUGGACAACUAGAGUGUGGUAGAGGGUAGCGGAAUUCCCGGUGUAGCAGUGA